UACGUAGGGGGGCAAGCGUUGUCCGGAAUCACUGGGCGUAAAGGGCGCGUAGGCGGCCCGGUAAGUAGGGGGGUGAAAUCCUGCGGCUUAACCGCAGGGCUGCCUUCUAAACUGUCGGGCUCGAGCACGGUAGAGGCAGAUGGAAUUCCCGGUGUAGCGGUGGAAUGCGUAGAGAUCGGGAAGAACAUCAGUGGCGAAGGCGGUCUGCUGGGCCGUUGCUGACGCUGAGGCGCGACAGCGUGGGGAGCAAACAGG
rnacentral:rRNA from 1 species